rnacentral:rRNA from 1 species
GACGAACGCUGGCGGCGUGCUUAACACAUGCAAGUCGAACGGAAAGGCCCGGCUUUUGUGGGGUGCUCGAGUGGCGAACGGGUGAGUAACACGUGAGUAACCUGCCCUUGACUUUGGGAUAACUUCAGGAAACUGGGGCUAAUACCGGAUAGGAGCUCCUGCUGCAUGGUGGGGGUUGGAAAGUUUCGGCGGUUGGGGAUGGCCUCGCGGCUUAUUAGCUUGUUGGUGGGGCAGUGGCUUACCAAGGCUUUGACUGGUAGCCGGCCUGGGAGGGUGACCGGCCUCAUUGGGACUGAGAGACGGCCCAGACUGCAACGGGAGGCAGCAGGGGGGAAUAUUACACAAUGGGCGGGAGCCUGAUGCAGCAACGCCGCGUGCGGGAUGACGGCCUUGGGGUUGUAAACCGCUUUCGCCUGUGACGAAGCGGGAGUGACGGUAAUGGGUAAAUAAGCACCGGCUAACUACGUG